AAUAGAUACCCGGGUAGUCCACGCCGUAAACGAUGAGUGCUAAGUGUUGGGGGGUUUCCGCUCCUCAGUGCUGCAGCUAACGCAUUAAGCACUCCGCCUGGGGAGUACGGUCGCAAGACUGAAACUCAAAGGAAUUGACGGGGGCCCGCACAAGCGGUGGAGCAUGUGGUUUAAUUCGAAGCAACGCGAAGAACCUUACCAGGUCUUGACAUCCCGGUGACCACUAUGGGGACAUAGUUUCCCCUUCGGGGGCAACGGUGACAGGUGGUGCAUGGUUGUCGUCAGCUCGUGUCGUGAGAUGUUGGGUUAAGUCCCGCAACGAGCGCAACCCUUAUUCUUAGUUGCCAUCAUUCAGUUGGGCACUCUAAGGAGACUGCCGGUGAUAAACCGGAGGAAGGUGGGGAUGACGUCAAAUCAUCAUGCCCCUUAUGACCUGGGCUACACACGUGCUACAAUGGACGGUACAGACGGUUGCCAACCCGCGAGGGGGGAGCUAAUCCGAUAAAACCGUUCUCAGUUCGGAUUGUAGGCUGCAACUCGCCUAC
rnacentral:rRNA from 1 species